rnacentral:rRNA from 1 species
GACGAACGCUGGCGGCGUGCUUAACACAUGCAAGUCGAACGGAAAGGCCCUGCUUGCAGGGUACUCGAGUGGCGAACGGGUGAGUAACACGUGGGUGAUCUGCCCUGCACUUCGGGAUAAGCCUGGGAAACUGGGUCUAAUACCGGAUAGGAGCCAUUUUUAGUGUGAUGGUUGGAAAGUUUUUUCGGUGUAGGAUGAGCUCGCGGCCUAUCAGCUUGUUGGUGGGGUAAUGGCCUACCAAGGCGGCGACGGGUAGCCGGCCUGAGAGGGUGGCCGGCCACAUUGGGACUGAGGUAAGGCCCAGACUCCUACGGGAGGGAGCAGUGGGGAAGAUUGCACAAUGGGCGCAAGCCUGAUGCAGCGACGCCGCGGGGGGGAUGACGGCCUUCGGGUUGUAAACUCAUUUCGCUAGGGACGAAGCUUUUUGUGACGGUACCUAGAUAAGAAGCACCGGCUAACUACGUG